rnacentral:piRNA from 1 species
UGAUAUUUAUUGGCCGCCACCCUGG